rnacentral:tRNA from 1 species
GGGUUUGUAGCUCAGAGAUAGAGCACUCAUCUUGCAUAUGUGAGGCACUGGAUUCAAUCCCCAGCACCA